GUUUUUUUUCUCGCCCAAUCACGUUAUGCCACUUUGUCUUUUUGAACUGCUGCAUCCCCCCACUCUUUUCACUCUUGCCUGGCUCGAGAGGAAUCAGGAUACUGUUGGACGCGGAGCCACCUAUUGAUCACCUGUAUGAGAGUACCUGAAAAUGCUCAGAAAACCCAUAAAUGCUGAGAGUUGCUUGACAUGCUGCCCAGGCUUCUUCAUGGAGUUUCUCUCUGUGCUGUCAGACAGAGAUGUAGCAGCGUUUGCAGCUCAGGGAAGUGCUGGGGCAGCAGAACAUUCAGGGACAUUGUGUAUCAGUGCUGAGCAAGGCAACAGGAUUACUAUUGACUUUUUUUAUUGUGAUAAAAAGACUACAAUGAAACAUUAAGACUGCUAAACCUUGCAUUUCAAUGGAUGCAGACAAUAACAGAUUAUUGCCAGAGUCAAUUAUAAACACAGCUAUAAAAUACAGCAUCUUUCAAUAGGCUUUGUUCUAAACCACAUUCUUCCUCACUGUGAACUGAGGAUUUACAGUGUUGAACUAUAUGACUGCAGUGAAUGCCAGGUUAGACUUAUCUGGGCUGAAUAAUUAACAUUUCUGUGUGUUUAGAGUGUUUCAAAAUGAUGAAAUACUGAGUAAAAACUGACCAAAUGUUUGCAAAGACUUAGUGUUUUAAUUAGUAACUGAUGUAUUUGAGUUGUAUUUUACUUUAAAUCCUGUCUGUACAAAACUUCUUCACCCUGCUUGAUGAAUCAGACCCAUUGUUAGAGGUCUCCUUUGUACUAUGUCAUUCCACCCAAAGACACAUUGCAGCAUCCACCUCAUAAUAAUUACCCAUCUCUGGGGACUACCAAAUACUGAGCUGGGGACUUGAAGUAUGUAUCUGUGAAACCCUGAGUACUAUUAGUGUGAAGGCUAUAAUUUGGCUUCAGUGUAAACAUAUUUGUGUCACUGUGAAACAAAUUUUCCUGUUGUAUGGUCUAACAUAUAUUUUUCUUCAAUAAAUACAUCAUAAACCAAAAAAAUUACAUUUUAAGAAUGAAAUUUGUUCCCAAUGAUCAUUCUCGUAUAAAGUGCAUGCACACAGGUGACCUUUCCACCUUUUUAUGUCCCUACAGUCAGGAAAUAUUCCCACUGCUAAGUUAUUAUGGACUCUACCUGAACUUUUCAACACGAGAAUAUGUGACAUCUGGUGACUGUAAUGUUGGACAAGAGGAGCCAUAACUGCAGCCAA